ACCCCGGGAGGGGAGUGAAAUAGAUCCUGAAACCGCAUGCAUACAAAAAGUCGGAGCCGCAAGGUGACGGCGUACCUUUUGUAUAAUGGGUCAGCGACUUACAUUCAGUGGCGAGGUUAACCGAAUAGGGAAGCCGUAGAGAAAUCGAGUCCGAAUAGGGCGAAUAGUCGCUGGGUGUAGACCCGAAACCAAGUGAUCUAUCCAUGGCCAGGAUGAAGGUACCGUAACAGGUGCUGGAGGUCCGAACCGACUAGUGUUGCAAAACUAGCGGAUGAGCUGUGGAUAGGGGUGAAAGGCUAAACAAACUUGGAAAUAGCUGGUUCUCUCCGAAAACUAUUUAGGUAGUGCCUCAAGUAUUACCUGCGGGGGUAGAGCACUGUUUAGGCUAGGGGGUCAUGG
rnacentral:rRNA from 1 species